AGCAGCCGCGGUAAUUCCAGCUCCAAUAGCGUAUAUUAAAGUUGUUGCAGUUAAAAGCUCGUAGUUGAAUUUCGGGGUUAGCAGGUCGGUCGUGCCAUCGGUAUGAACUGGUCUCGCUGAUCCCUCCCUCUUGACGAACUGUGAUGCCAUUAAUUUGGUGUCGCAGGGAAUCAGGACUGUUACUUUGAAAAAUUGAGUGUUUAAAGCAGGCUCACGCUUGAAUACAUUAGCAUGGAAUAAUGAAAUAGGACGUUUGAUCCUAUUUUGUUGGCUUCUAGGAUUGACGUAAUGAUUAAUAGGGAUAGUUGGGGGCAUUAGUAUUCAAUUGUCAGAGGUGAAAUUCUUGGAUUUAUUGAAGACUAACUACUGCGAAAGCAUUUGCCAAGGAUGUUUUCAUUAAUCAAGAACGAAAGUUAGGGGAUCGAAGACGAUCAGAUACCGUCGUAGUCUUAACCAUAAACUAUGCCGACUAGGGAUCGGAUGAUGUUAAUUUUUUAAUGUACUCU
rnacentral:misc_RNA from 1 species